UACAGAGGUCCCAAGCGUUGUUCGGAUUCAUUGGGCGUAAAGGGUGUGUAGGUGGCGCCGUAAGUCGGGUGUGAAAUCUCGGGGCUUAACUCCGAAACUGCAUUCGAUACUGCGGUGCUUGAGGACUGGAGAGGAGACUGGAAUUUACGGUGUAGCGGUGAAAUGCGUAGAUAUCAGGAGGAACACCGAUGGCGAAGGCAGGUCUCUGGGCAUUAACUGACGCUGAGGAGCGAAAGCAUGGGGAGCGAACAGG
rnacentral:rRNA from 1 species